rnacentral:rRNA from 1 species
UACGUAGGGGGCAAGCGUUGUCCGGAUUUAUUGGGCGUAAAGAGCGUGUAGGCGGCCACACAGGUCAGCUGUGAAAACUCGAGGCUCAACCUCGAGACGUCGGUUGAAACCGUAUGGCUAGAGUCCGGAAGAGGAGAGUGGAAUUCCCGGUGUAGCGGUGAAAUGCGUAGAUAUCGGAAGGAACACCUGUGGCGAAAGCGGCUCACUGGACCAUUACUGACGCUGAGGCACGAAAGCUAGGGGAGCAAACAGG